rnacentral:rRNA from 1 species
GGUUGAUCCUGCCAGUAGUCAUAUGCUUGUCUCAAAGAUUAAGCCAUGCAUGUCUAAGCACAAACUUUAACACAGUGAAGCUGCGAAUGGCUCAUUAGGUCACCCAUGAUUUCUUGGAUCGUACAAUCCUACUUGGAUAACUGUGGUAAUUCUAGAGCUAAUACAUGCGAGCAAGCUCCGACCCUUCGGGGAAAGAGCGCGUUUAUUAGAUCAAAACCAAUCGGGCCUUCGGGUUCGUACGUUUGGUGACUCUGGAUAACUUUGAGCGGAUCGCACGGGCUUGACCCGGCGA